UGGGGAAUAUUGCGCAAUGGGCGAAAGCCUGAUGCAGCAACGCCGCGUGAGUGAUGACGGUCUUCGGAUUGUAAAGCUCUGUCUUUGGGGACGAUAAUGACGGUACCCAAGGAGGAAGCCACGGCUAACUACGUGCCAGCAGCCGCGGUAAUACGUAGGUGGCAAGCGUUGUCCGGAUUUACUGGGCGUAAAGGGUGCGUAGGCGGACCUUUAAGUGAGAUGUGAAAUCCCCGAGCUUAACUUGGGGGCUGCAUUUCAAACUGGAGGUCUAGAGUGCAGGAGAGGAGAGUGGAAUUCCUAGUGUAGCGGUGAAAUGCGUAGAGAUUAGGAAGAACACCAGUGGCGAAGGCGACUCUCUGGACUGUAACUGACGCUGAGGCACGAAAGCGUGGGGAGCAAACA
rnacentral:rRNA from 1 species